rnacentral:lncRNA from 1 species
UCUCCUAGACACCCUAUCUUGUAUCUAUUAUAUCUCCAUGAUCCAAAGGUCUUUCUCUCUAAUUUUUGGAUGCCCCAAAGAUCUCUCAAAUCUCUAUAUUUUAUAAAAAUUUCAUAUAGAAACUCAUUUAUAAAAAGAGAUAUGAUAGAGUCCUUGUUUAGGUCAAAUACCUAGUCAAGGCUUAUCCAAACAUGGCAAGAUAAGGGGUGCCCAACUCUUGGGCGCCUCCUCCUUAUUUU